rnacentral:rRNA from 1 species
AGAUUGAACGCUGGCGGCAGGCCUAACACAUGCAAGUCGAGCGGCAGCACGGGUACUUGUACCUGGUGGCGAGCGGCGGACGGGUGAGUAAUGCCUAGGAAUCUGCCUGAUAGUGGGGGAUAACGUUCGGAAACGGACGCUAAUACCGCAUACGUCCUACGGGAGAAAGUGGGGGAUCUUCGGACCUCACGCUAUCAGAUGAGCCUAGGUCGGAUUAGCUAGUUGGUAGGGUAAAGGCUACCAAGGCUACGAUCCGUAACUGGUCUGAGAGGAUGAUCAGUCACACUGGAACUGAGACACGGUCCAGACUCCUACGGGAGGCAGCAGUGGGGAAUAUUGGACAAUGGGCGAAAGCCUGAUCCAGCCAUGCCGCGUGUGUGAAGAAGGUCUUCGGAUUGUAAAGCACUUUAAGUGGAGGAAGGGUUGUAACCUAAUACGUUGACAACUUUGACGUUACCGACAGAAUAAGCACCGGCUAACUCGUGCCAGCAGCCG